AAUAUUUGUCACAAAAAAACAAAAUGUGAAGGUCUAAGGUCUUUGGUGUUGAGAUCUUUGUUUGCAAACCUCCGCAUUUAACUAGAGACAGCUGCAGUGUAGAUCAAGACCGUUGGACAGUAUGGAUCGCACUCACUCCCACAGAUAAAUGGUGUGGAUCUUCGUAUGUAGAGUGAUUGGGGAGGAUGAAAAGCAGUGAAUGAAUCCCAUAUAUUUUCAAAUAAAUAAAUAAAAUUUGAAAAAACAUGAGAUUGAUGCAUAUUCUUCCUGGAAGCAUAGAUAUAAUCGGUACAAGUGACUUUUAAAUGGAUGAUACCGGUGCAGUCACUUAUUCAAGGGCUGAAAUUGCACUUAAAAAAUGAAGGAUUGAGAUUGAAUGACCUGUAGACCUGUUCAGCCCUUUCUAAUUAAAGAUCACGUGAGUUACACGUGACUGAGGAAAACGAAAAAAACAUUCCACGAACGCCAAGCGUGCCACGGAGCGUCUUCUAAUUUGCUCGCGGCGAGGCAGAGGACGGGUCAUACCCGUUCAGCCCAACCCAAAUUCUACCACUAUUCACUGUCUUCAUCUCUUCAGUGUGGGAUCUGCAUUACCGUCGGCUUCACUUCUUCAGCUCUCUGAAUGGAACCUCACCCACCGCCACAUCGUCUUGCUCAAUGUCGUUGCUUGGGAUCUGCAUUACCGUCGGCUUCACUUCUUUCAUAUACUUUUUAUGCUUUUGGAUGCAUAGUUCUGUUUCUGAUUGAAGCUUAAUAUGCUUUGGAAAUUAGAUUCUUUAAAGUGGGUUUUUCAUGGGUAUUCUGAAAGCAAAACCCAACAAUCGCUGCUAACCUUUUUUUGAAAAAAUUACAGAAAUUGGUGGUAUGUUUCUGUUAUUGAGUCAAGUUUUGUUUUUGGUUUUUUCUAAUAGGCAGCAGUUUCUGCGACGUCUCUCUUCUGCUCUGCAAUCACCGCAUUUCAGUCGUUUUUAGGAAGGUGAAUUCCCAAUGUGGUUUUUUUAAAGGCUUUCAAGAGACCAACUCAAUCACUUGAAAAGCUGAUGGAUGUUAUGAGGGAAGAGCUUCCUAACACAAUGGUUGUUGUUCGUUUAUCCGGGAUGGAGCUCAGUGAUCUUGGGUUGCCGUUACAAUUUCAAAGCUCCUAUUUCUUAAUCUGUAAGUGUAUGGUUCAAAUGUGAUGUUCUUCAUUGGUAUUGGUUGCUUUGAUUGGCAUUGGUUGCUGUGAUUGUUGUAACUGCUAUAUAUUGGUUGCUCUGGCUAACGAUUCAGGAAAAGUGCAGUUAAGAAACAGGGUUUCCUUGAUCUUUUAAAAGAAUUUGCUUGCUAGAGAGUGGUAGAAAAACUUGCGAAGAAGAAGAAGAAGAAGAAGAUGGAGCUACUGCUAGAGUUCUGGCUCCUUGCAGUGCUUGUACCAAUUGUUGGUGUGGGUGCUUUUCUGUGGUGGGCAAGGCAGGAUAUGAUUCAAGACAGUGUAAGGCUACUUCUAUUUUUUCUCUUGCUCACUUCUUAAAGCUCAUAGUUUUCUUCAACUAUGGUAUUAAACAUCUAUGGUUGCCUAGUGAAAACACAACUCAAGUUGUUGAGUGCUUUAAUUUCCAUGCCCUCAAUUUGGUCAUUCCCUCUACGAGUUUGGCACCUACAAGUGACUAGUAAAACCUUUUUAAUUAUU